GAUGAACGCUAGCGGCAGGCUUAACACAUGCAAGUCGAGGGGUAUAGGGAGCUUGCUUCCUAGAGACCGGCGCACGGGUGCGUAACGCGUAUGCAAUCUACCUUUUGCAGAGGGAUAGCCCAGAGAAAUUUGGAUUAAUACCUCAUAGUAUAGCAGUUUCGCAUGAAACCACUAUUAAAGUCACAACGGCAAAAGAUGAGCAUGCGUCCCAUUAGCUUGUUGGUAAGGUAACGGCUUACCAAGGCUACGAUGGGUAGGGGUCCUGAGAGGGAGAUCCCCCACACUGGUACUGAGACACGGACCAGACUCCUACGGGAGGCAGCAGUGAGGAAUAUUGGACAAUGGGCGCAAGCCUGAUCCAGCCAUGCCGCGUGCAGGAUGACGGUCCUAUGGAUUGUAAACUGCUUUUAUACAGGAAGAAACACUACUUCGUGAAUAGCUUGACGGUACUGAAGUAAUAAGGAUCGGCUAACUCCGUGCCAG
rnacentral:rRNA from 1 species